AUAUAUCAGAAAAGCGUGUGACGUGUCCUGAUGACCUAAUAGCUGACCAGUACACUCGUUACCUGGAGGACAAUAGCCUACCGGACACUAACUACACACAUAAUAUCUACUGCUACUAUCGCUUUACUACGGCUGUCCAAGGAAUGAAGAUUAGGAUACAGACAGAGUUUCUAGAUCUGGAAGAUGGCUAUGAUUUCUUGUGGAUAUUUGAUGGAAACGACACAAUCUCUCCAUUCCUUGGUGGGUACACUGGGGAUUCGCCCUUUACCUUGUUUACCAGUGGAAGCGAGGCCUUCAUGGUUUUCGUGACGGACGGUAUUGGCUCGCGCUCUGGCUUUCGACUGUCCUA